rnacentral:rRNA from 1 species
UCUGGUUGAUCCUGCCAGUAGUCAUAUGCUUGUCUCAAAGAUUAAGCCAUGCAUGUGUAAGUAUAAGUAUUGUACAGCGAAACUGCGAAUGGCUCAUUACAUCAGUUAUAGUUUAUUUGAUAUUUGAAAGUUACAUGGAUAACCGUGGCAAUUCUACAGCUAAUACAUGCUUCAAAACCUGACUUCGGAAGGGUUGUAUUUAUUAGAUAUUAAACCAUCCCCUCGGGGCUGUGAUGAAUCAUAAUAACUGAUCGAAUCGAGGUUCGCCUUGAUAAAUCAUUCAAGUUUCUGCCCUAUCAGCUGUAGAUGGUAGUGUAUUGGACUACCAUGGCUAUUACGGGUAACGGAGAAUUAGGGCUCGAUUCCGGAGAGGGAGCCUGAGAAACGGCUACCACAUCUACGGAUGGCAGCAGGCGCGAAAAUUGCCCAAUCCCGAUUCGGGGAGGCAGUGACAAGAAAUAACAACCCAGAACAUUGUUUCCGGGAUUGCAAUGAGAACAAUUUAAAAACCUUAUCGAGUACCAACUGGAGGGCAAGUUCUGGUGCCAGCAGCCGCGGUAACUCCAGCUCCAGUAGCGUAUAUUAAAGUUGCUGCAGUUAAAAAGCUCGUAGUUGAAUUUCUGUUUGUAAGAGUCGAAGCUUUACAGCUAAGAUUUCUUCGAACAUCUGUUUGCAAGCAUACGUUCGGCCUUCACUGGUUGGCUAUGUAAGCAAGCGCUUUACCUUGAGAAAAUUAGAGUGUUCCAGGCAGGCUUCAGCCGGAAUACAUUAGCAUGGAAUAAUGGAAUAGGACUGGGGACUAUUUAUUGGUUUGAGGCUCCAGUAAUGAUUAAUAGGAACAGUCGGGGGCAUUGGUACUUAACAGUCAGAGGUGAAAUUCUUGGAUUUGUUAAAGACUAACUAAUGCGAAAGCAUUUGCCAAGCAUGUUUUCAUUAAUCAAGAACGAAAGUUAGGGGAUCAAAGACGAUUAGAUACCGUCCUAGUCUUAACUGUAAACGAUUCCAUCUUAGAAUUGGGUGAAUAUUUGAUGAUUCAUCCAGCGCUAUAAGAGAAAUCAAAGUCUUUGGGUUCUUGGUGGAGUACGAUCGCAAGAUUGAAACUUAAAGGAAUUGACGGUUUUGCACACCAUGGAGUGGAGCCUGUGGCUUAAUUUGACCCAACACUGGGAAACUCAUCAGGACAACAAAGUUUUAGGAUUGACAGAUUGAUAGCUCUU